CGCUGCUUCGCCCCGCGCCGUUACGACGGCGGCGCCUUCGAACUGUUCGCCGUCGGCCGCCGGGAGGCGCUGAGCCGCGCCGUGGCCGAAAGGGGGCGGCACUGCGCGCUCUUCCGGUUGGACCGAACCGCCGCCGCCGCCUUCCGCUGUUACCGCGGCCGUUACCGCCGCUUCGACGGCCGCACGUGGUGGGAAUCCGAGCUCAGCGCCGCCGUUCCGCUCCGCGCCUCUGACGCCGCCCACUGCGACUCCGCGCCCCCCACCGCGCCCCCACCCACCCCCACGGCGGGGCGGCUCAGUGGGGCGGAAGGGGGGCACAGCGCGACCCCCGGGACCGCCGACCCCACAACCCUUCGCGCUCCGCUGUGGCGGCUCCCGUGGCGCUGAGCGGCGGAGCCGCAGCAGGAGGUGCAGAGGAGCGGCGCGUGGCGACCCCGUGCAGAGCAUCGCCAUGGGGACGGCGCACACAGAGGGCGCGUUGUGAAGGGCUGCAGGGCCGCUAUGGGGUGGACGUGUGGGGCCGCUGUGGGGCGGACGUGUGGGGCCGCUGUGGGGCGGACGUGUGGGGCUCUAUGGGGCAAUAAAGAGUUUUGGUGCCGGUGGCGCAGAGCCCCCCCUGUGCCCAUCGCUGUGUGUGGCACUGCGGCCUUUCCCACACCCCACUCCCAUUACGCCCCCAUUUCCCAUCCCCCACUCCCAUCCCCCACCCCCCCCC
ensembl:lncRNA